UUGCUGUCACUUAUAGAUGGAUCCGCGCUGCAUUAGCUAGUUGGUAAGGUAACGGCUUACCAAGGCAACGAUGCAUAGCCGACCUGAGAGGGUGAUCGGCCACACUGGAACUGAGACACGGUCCAGACUCCUACGGGAGGCAGCAGUAGGGAAUCUUCCGCAAUGGGCGAAAGCCUGAAGGAGCAACGCCGCGUGAGUGAUGAAGGUCUUCGGAUCGUAAAACUCUGUUAUUAGGGAAGAACAUAUGUGUAAGUAACUGUGCACAUCUUGACGGUACCUAAUCAGAAAGCCACGGCUAACUACGUGCCAGCAGCCGCGGUAAUACGUAGGUGGCAAGCGUUAUCCGGAAUUAUUGGG
rnacentral:rRNA from 1 species